rfam:Rattus norvegicus chromosome 3, whole genome shotgun sequence.
GGGGAUUUAGCUCUGUGGUAGAGCGCUUGCCUAGCAAGCGCAAGGCCCUGGGUUCAGUCCCCA